CGGGACUUAGCGAAGCGGUAUCGCGCUGCUCUGGGGGGGCAGAGACGGCAAGUUCAACUCUUGUAGUCCCGACCA
rnacentral:tRNA from 1 species